UGGGAAGGGGACGCCACGCUCCUUCUGCGCAUGUGCAGCCGUAGCCUCCUCGUUCGUCUUCUCAGGACUCCAGAGAACCGUUGGGGAACUUUGGGGUGUGCUCGGAAAAUGCAGGGUGCGCACCUAGGGCGAGGGACUAGCUGGGAAGGGUGUGCCUGUGCUUGGGGAUGGGAGCAGGAAGUGUCUGGGACCUCGUCGCCCCCCGCGGCGGUGUAUAAACCCGGGCGGGCCGUCAGAGCGGAGCUUCAGAGCAGAGACAAGAGCCCAGAAAGGAGCAGAUGCUAGAUUUGCAAGAUCAGAAGCAGGUCUUGAUCCUCCUGCCCAGAAUGAACCAGACUUGAUGAUGAUGCCACCUUCAGGAGCCACCACACUGUGUGACAGUGGGGCAUUUGGGCCGUCCCUGGGAAGUACAGCUGAACCACAGUCCUCUGUACUCGCCCAGGAGCCACAGAAGUGAACAUCCCUCAGGUAUGAAGGUCUUCUUGAGCAUUUCCUGUUUGGGGUGUCUUGUGGCGAUGAACUACCUCAGCUUUUGUUUAUGUGGGAAAGUUUUUAUUUCUCCACCAUAUCUGUAGGAUAUUUUUCCCUGGAUAGAGUAUUCUUGGCUGAAGGUUUUUGUCUUUCAGAAUUUUGAAUAUCUCAUUCUACCUUCUCAUAUCC
rnacentral:lncRNA from 1 species